AUCUGCCGCUUAAUGCCUUAGUCACCACCGUCCAAGACCCCUGAAACAGCAGACCGGCGAAGCCAGCCGCCAGCCGCUCGCCCCGGUUCUUCUAGUUCUAGCCCCGCGCCGCGACCCGCUUCGCUAGUCGGCUACUCGCCACGUACAUACGCAACGCACCCCCGCUCCGCUUCCUUGCUCGGGGGAUCAUCCCUACUCACGCCUCCGCUUGACUCCGCCGCCGCACCGCGCUGCCUGCCCUCCGGCCGUCCUUGCAGGCUGCGGCCACUCGACGGCGACGACUGAGGUGGGUCGUGUCAGGGUCAGGGGUUACGGCUUCAAUACGGUCGCGAGGUUCUGGAAUAAUUGUUGUGGGGGGAAUCUAAAGCCUUCAUGUCUGGUUUGGAGGAAGACACUUGGCCUGGUCGCGCAUGAUUAACUCUGCUGUGGUGUGGGUCUCACUACUCCUGUACAAGGAAAACACAGUUGCGACAAUUGUGCAGUCAUCAUUUUUGUGAAUAGUUGGAGAGAUUGGUAAGGGGAUGCCAUGUUCAGAACUUCUAUGUUGAUGUGGAUGGUCACCAGCUUCAGCUUCAAAGAGUUGUAUUAGGUGCUUGGAUCAAAGCAGCAAUUGGAUAUUUUGUUCGAAGGUGUGCAUCCAUACUGAUCCAUUGCAGAUCAUCAUUAUUUCUUCACCAUGAUCAGUGUGCGAAGUAUAGAAUCUCUGGCCGCUGGGGAUGGUCGGCCUAAUCUGUUCCGUACCCUUGGGCCAACACUCCUGAUUUCAAUGGGGUAUAUUGACCUUGGAAAGUGGUUGGCGACUAUGGACGCUGGAUCUCGAUUUGGGUAUGAUCAAGUGUUGCUGGUGCUGCUUUUCAAUUUCUCAGCCAUUCUAUUCCAGUAUCAAUCAAUUUGUAUUGGUAUGGUCACUGGGAAGAAUCUUAAAGAGAUUUGCUGCCAGGAGUACAGUGAGACAAUAAAUGUUGUUCUUAGUCUUCAGGCAGGGCUGUCCUUGAUUAUUGCAGAACUAACAAUGGUUUCAGGCAUAACAGUUGGUUUCAACCUUGUUUUUGAAUAUGGUGGUAUUAUAACAGGCCUAUGUUUUUCAAGUGUUGUAGUCUAUCUGCUGCCACAUGUUAUCUCCCGUCUGGGCAGGAGGAUGGCUGGAACAUUCAAUGCCUGCAUAGCAGGCUUUACACUUCUUUGCUUUGUGCUUGGUUUAUUAGUCAGUCAACCAAAGGUCCCUGUCAAUGUGAAUGUGAUGUUCCCCAAGUUGAGUGGUGAGAGUGCUUACUCGCUGAUGGCACUUCUUGGCGCAAAUGUAAUAACAUACGGUUUUUAUGUUCAUUCAUCGGUUGUUCAGGUGCAAAGAAGAUCUCUAGCUCCUACCCUUGGUUCCCUGUUUCAUGAUCACCUGUUUUCUGUAUUAUUCGUAUUUACUGGGGUUUUUCUUGUGAACUAUGUUCUAUUGAGCUCAGCAGCAGAUGAAUCCAGUAAUAUAACACUUGUUAACUAUCAAGAUGGUAUUGAGUUAAUGAACCAGAUGUUUGAGAGUCCUGUGGCACCAGUUUUGUUGUUAGUGAUCCUAAUCUUCUCAAGCCACAUCAUCUCGUUGACAUCUAUUAUCGGUAGUGAUGUGAUUUUAAAGAACACUUUUGGUGUUAAACUGCCAGAUUCUGCACAUCAUCUCCUACUUAAGGGUUUCGCCAUCAUUCCUUGUAUCUACUGUGGAAAGGUCGCUGGUUUUGAAGGGAUAUAUCAGUUACUUAUUAUCUGUCCAGUUAUCCAGGCUAUGUUCCUUCCUUCCACUGUUAUCCCCCUUAUCCGUAUUUCCUCAUCAAGAUUAAUCAUGGGCUGCUACAAAAUAUCUUUAUAUGUUGAAAUACUUGCCACUCUUGCAUUUCUUCUUAUGCUGUUUGCAAAUAUCAUUUUUGUGGCGGAAAUCCUGUUUGGUGAUAGCACCUGGACAAACAACCUCAAAGGAAACACCGGAUCCGGCCCUGUUUUACUUCCAUAUAUUGUCAUAGUCCUAACUUCUUUUGCAAGUAUUGCUUUUACGCUAUUCCUUGCUGUUACUCCACUAAAGUCAGCAAGUAAUGAAGCUGAAAACGAGAAUUUGUCUGUGUGCUCACAUAGUGAAGCAUUGAACAUUGCUCACUAUAGAGAAGAGACUUCUCUUGAAAGUGUUCCACUUGAAGAAGUUCAGUGGUCGUCUAUUGCUGUUGCUCCGAGGGAUUCGUUGGAAGGUCAUCAGAAAUCAGCUUUGGAGUAUACCGAGUGUUCUGAUACCGCUACAGAGUCUGAUCAUGAUGCUCAAGAACCAACAUCUCAUAGGACAGUGGAUCCUGAAGCUCACCUCUCACCGCCUGCAUUCCGUGAUGAGCCAAAAUUUGUUGAGGUUGACUGGACAGAGCCAAUGUCAAUAGUUUGUACUGACACCAUAGUAGAACAAAGUACUGCAGAGAACAUCAAAGUGAAGAGCGCGACUGAGAAGAUUGUUCCAGUGGAACCAGAUGUUUGCGCACAGAAGGAUUCUGAGGUGUCACAUGAUUUGGAAUUUGACAAGUCCUAUGGAGGUAAGGUACCUUCUUUCCCUUCUGGUGGCCCACCAUCUCUUAUGUUGAGCAGGGGAGAUGAUACUGAUGCUGGUAAUGUCAGUGGUUUCAUCUCAAAACAGUCUGGUUUGGGACGUGCAGCAAGGAGACAGUUAGCAGCAAUUCUUGAUGAGUUCUGGGGGCAACUUUUUGAUUAUCGUGGUAAACUUACACAAGAGGCCAACAAUAAAAGCUUCAACUAUUUGAUUGGACUGGACUUGAGAGCAGCUGGUUCUGCUGUGAGGAAAGAUAACCUAUCAAUUGAAGCUUCCAGUAACUCAAUGAUGAGAGAUGUAAUGCAAGGGUCAGCUACUGUAUUGAACACAUGGGAUUCUCAUGAUAAAGAUAUCACUAAUCAAGACACAGGUAUCUGUCUGCAGGUGGGUACCAUGGGUCCACCAACAUGGUCUCAAAGCAUGCAUUUACCAAAUAGAGAUAUUCCAAGUUCAGGCAGAACCUUCUUUGAGCAAAAUGCUAAAUUAUUUUCAAAUUUUCAUACUCCAUCUUACUCCAGUAACCAGUUUUAUCAACCGGCUACCAUUCAUGGGUAUCAGCUAGCAAACUAUUUGAAAGGGAUAAAUGCAAGUCGAAAUCCAUACUCUAGCACUCCAUUGGACCCAUGGCAACCUCCUAGAUCUUCUGAAUCUGCUAUUCCCACCUAUACUGGCUCUGCAAUGAAUGCUCAUACGCAUAAUCUCCUUGGUUCAUUUGGAGAUAGCUCUUUGCAAAGCCCGACAUUGAACCGCUCAAGUACAAUGGCAGUGGAAAGAUCCUAUUAUGAUCCUAUCUCCAUUGGUGGGAGUGAUAGUGUUGGCUCAUCUGCUAACUCAAAGAAGUACCACAGUUCACCUAACAUAUCUGCGGUAAUUGCUGCGAGCAGAGAUGCUUUGUUGAAUGAAGCAAGUUUGGGUCCUGCUGCAAAUCUAGCAUACCUGACUAGUUUGGCAUCUGAAAAAUCACGGUAUGUGGACUUAGCAGUCAGACCAUCAUCUCCACUUACUGAGUUGUCACAACAUAAUGUUCAGAGAGAGAUGCUCUCUACACAUUCGGGUACAAACACCAAAACCAAAUUCCUUUGGUCCCAACAGCCAUUUGAACAAUUAUUUGGUGUGUUAAGUUCAGAGGUGAAUAGGAGUGAGGUGAACACUGGCCAGGGAGCAUGUAGUGCCAUGAAGGAUGAUUUCUCUUACACACAGUUUGAGGCAGAACUUCUUAAGUCUCUUAGAUUUUGCAUCAUGAAGCUCUUGAAGCUGGAAGGAUCGGAGUGGCUGUUUCGUCAGAAUGGCGGUUGUGAUGAAAAUCUAAUUGAUAAAGUCUCUGAAACCGAGAGAGUUUCACAGGGAGGAACCAGUGAUGACAGAGAUACCAGUUCUGUGCACAGAGUGCCAAAUUGCGGAGAUGGUUGUGUUUGGCAGGCUUCACUGAUUGUUAGUUUUGGUGUCUGGUGUAUCCAUCGGGUGCUAGACCUGUCCCGUGUGGAAAGUAGACCAGAACUUUGGGGCAAGUAUACAUAUGUUCUCAACCGUCUUCAGGGAAUCAUUGAUCCUUCACUCUCCAAUCCCCGGAAACCCCUAAUGGCGUGUGCAUGCCUCCUGAAAGCAGGCUCGGUUGGCAAACCCAUCCCCGGCAGCUUCAUCACGGCAGCCAUGAUACUGGAGGUGAUCAAGGGCGUGGAACAAGCCGUCUCAGGCCGCAAGGGCCGGAGCGGAACAGCAGCUGGAGAUGUGGCCUUUCCCAAAGGGAAGGCGAACCUGCUCUCUGUGCUCAAGCGAUACAAGCGCAGGCUUGGCAACAAGACGCCGCCUAGGCGGUAGAACAAAACAGAAAGGAAGAAAACAUGUUCAUGUUCCAUCUUGCUGCUUCUAGAGUCAUGGGUGCAAGAAUUCCUGUUUCUUUUUCUGUACCCGUUUUUAGCAUUUGGCCCCUACAAGUUUUUGCAUAUGAUGUGAUGUUCGCACGAGGGGCCAAAACUGCCAAAUGUUGUUCGGUGUACAGCAUGAGUUUUAGUAGUUUCCUCAAUCAGCAUUGUGAAAUGAUGUACAGUUAAGUUUAGCUCUGUUGUUGGCAUUGGUCUACAUCCUGUCAUCCUGUGUGAAAUUGUAGUCAAGCUGUGUGGUUAGCGUCCAGGCCCUUUCGCCUGGUUCCUGAAAGUCCUGUGGACUGUGCUCAGGUUAGCGAAAUUCGAGUUCGGAAGCAACCAAGUCAUCGAUGUCGCCGAGGCUCGCCACUUGCGAAUUGCCAUGGACGAUGGCAGGUGAAGGUGAUACUAUGCCGAUAUGCGCGACCUUGGGUUGGGCCGUUUGGGGGCGAGUGGUUCUGGCAUCGUCGCGUAGCUGCGUCUGCGUCCUCUCGCGACGUCUCGUACAGUCGUCCUUCCUCCAGGGCUCCACGUCACUGCUCGCCGCCACCACCCCGCCGCCUCCAUCUCGGUCCCGUACAGUACAGCCUCUGCGACGCGUCGGCGCAUCCCUGCUCGCCGCCAUCGUUUCCCAUCCCACCCACCGAUGUAUGUCGGAGGAGCAAAUAAGAGGAGAGGGAGCUCUUGUGGCAGGGGAAUCCCAAGCGAAAUAGGGAGA